AAGAUGUCUGGAGUGAAUGGGACAGAAGCUAAAUUCGUGCAGAAAGUUGCUGGGAAAAGAUUACUGUCACUUUCAACAUUAACAAUAGCAUCCAACCAACAUUUGAUGGUGAGGAAGAGGCCUCAGAAGGGCAGAAGGUUGAAGAACAGGAGCCUGAACUGAUCCACUCCCAAUUGUGUGGUUGAAGUUAGGAAGAGUGAUAGUCAGAAAGCUCUUGUACUAGACUGUCAGUAUCCAGAGGAUGAGAUUGGACAAGAAGAGGAAGCGGAGAGUGACAUUUUCUCUAUUAAGGAAGUUAGCUUUCAAACCACUGGCGAGUCUGAAUGGAAAGACUAAUUACACUCUGAACACAGAGUCCUUACACUGGGCCUUGUAUGGCCACCUAAUGGAUUUCCUUGCCGACUGAGAGGUGAACAACACUUUUGCAGAUGAGGUGGUGGAACUCAGCACAGCCCUGGAGCACCAGGAGUACAUUAAUUUUCUUGAAGACCUCAAAAGUUUUGUCAAGAGCCACUGGAGAAAUCAGAGACACUUGAAGGCCUUAAUAUUAUGGUGAGCUUUGACCAGUGAACAAAAACUACCCUGACACCAGACUGUGUGCUUUGAAUUGGAUGUAAUCCUAACAUCAUGGGGGUGGGGCAGAAUAAGCACAUUUAAAUUAUUGCUAUCAUGCUCUCAUUUACUAUUUAUUUGAUAGUUUUCCUGUACAAACCUAUUAUUUCUAGAUUUUUGUAUAACAUAAUGAUGGACAAUAAAAUUCUUUUAUCUCCAAAAAAAGAGGUUCAUAUGAUAUUUGUAAUUUCUUCAUAUGAAAGUACCUGAUAACAUUUUACACUUUAGUUGGAG
rnacentral:lncRNA from 1 species